AGGAGCGCGCAAGGCUUGCUACGGGCAGAGUUGUCCCGGUGGCCCGGAGUUCCAGCCUCUGUCCAGCAUGGCCUCACUGAGUUCGCGGAGCUUCUAAUGCCACGCGGGCGUCAGGUGCAUUCAUUUCACCCCGGAGAUCUGAAGAAGAAGAGUUUAUCUGCAUUCCCCUUCCUUCCUGCUUCCCACCUCCAAAGCCCGCCACUGAUCCUGCGAAUAAGUUUGCCCUGAAGUGUGGAAUAUCCCAUUCCUGCACAACUCGGUUCUACACCCCCUCCCCCGUGGGAUUCAGAGGUACACUGGGCAGCGCAAUCAGUAUGCAGUUGAGUUUUUGAGAUUCUAAUAGUUGAUACUAAUUCUUGGAACGACAGUAAGACUUGGAAAUACAGAUCUAAGCCACCCUAUAUAUUGGUGAUGUAGAAAAGAGAUAACUUCUUGAAAAGUGUCUGUGGGUUUAGUAGGUUGAGUAAUGAGAAGUUUUGGAACAAGAGCAGCAAACAAACUAAAGACUCCUAUGCAAAGAAGAAGUAGAGUUUUUAUUCUUUUAUCUCAAAACUUUUUUUUUUUUUUUUAGGGAAAACUCCCUCAGUACUUAUUCAAGAACCUAAAAGUGUAAGGCCGGGCGCGGUGGCUCACGCCUGUAAUCCCAGCACUUUGGGAGGCCGAGGCGGGCGGAUCACGAGGUCAGGAGAUCGAGAGCAUCCUGGCUAACACGGUGAAACCCCGUCUCUAUUAAAAGAUAGAAAAAAAUUAGCCGGGCGUGGUGGUGGGCGCCUGUAGUCCCAGCUAGCUACUCGGGAGGCUGAGGCAGGAGAAUGGCGUGAACCCGGGAGGCGGAGGUUGCAGUGAGCCGAGAUUGCGCCACUGCACUCCAGCCUGGGCGACAGAAUGAGACUCGUCUCAAAAAAAAAAAAAAAAAAGAGAGAACCUAAAAGUGUACACAAAGUGUAGUCAUAAAAAAUCUUGGUUCUUUAACCAACAAAACGACUGAAAUAAAUAAACCUGUUAUAUGAGUUUCAUGAAUAAAAAUUAACUCUGGGCCGGGCCCGGUGGCUCACGCCUGUAAUUAUAGCACUUUGGGAGGCUGAGACGGGCGGAUCACCUGAGGUCAGGAGUUCGAGACCAGGCUGGCCAUAGUAGAUCUGUGCUCCAAGGAAGGAGCAUGUUGAUCAGACCUAAGCAAUCCGUGUAUACAGUGUAUGUAUGACCUUCCUCUAGUCUGGCUCAGGGAUGGGCACAUGAUCCAAUUAGAGCCAAUGGGUACAAUAAGAUUUUCUCUGGCUUUUUGGGAAAGAAACUUUCUUAUUUUCUCCCAAAAAUGUAAUAUAUAUAUUGAACUCCCAAAAUGGAAUCCAGUGGUGUGAUCCUGGCUCACUGCAACCUCUGCCUCCCAGGAUCAAAUGAUUCUGCUACCUCAGUCUCCCAAGUAACCGGAACUACAGGCAUAUGCCACCGUGCUGGCUAAGUUUUGUAUUUUUUGUAGAGAUGGGUUUCGCCAUGUUGCCCAGGCUGGUCUUGAACUCCUGGCCUCAAAGGAUCCACCUGCUUCGGCCUCCCAAAGUACUAAGAUUACAGAUGUGAGCCACCGUGCCCAGCCUAUGAUUUUUCAAUGAGCAAUAAUCACACCUCGGAUAAAUCUCAUUGGCUACAAUACUGCCACUGCACAAAGUUUCUGAAAUUUGAUGAUGAUGAUAACAAAAAUAGUGAAAUAGUUAACACGUAUUGAGUGCUGAUUAUAUGCCAGAGAGAGUUCUAAACACUCUACUUAUUUACUCCUCACAAUAACCAUAUUGGGUGGGUAUAAUUAUUAUUCCCUUUUAGAAAUGGUGGAACUGGGCCUGGCACGGUGGCUCAUGCCUGUAAUCCCAGCACUUUGGGAGGCUGAGGUGGGCAGAUUACCUGAGGUCAGGAGUUCGAGACCAGCCUGGCCAACAUCGUGAAAAAAAUUAGCCGGGCAUGGUGGUACACGCCUGUAAUCCCAG
rnacentral:lncRNA from 1 species